UCCCAGCGGUCCAAGUCGCAGCCACAAUUAUUGGGUCUAAAACAUCCGUAGCUUGCUUCGUAAGUCUCUUGUGAAAUCGGGCCUCUUAAGGGUCCGGCGUGCAAGAGAUACUGCAGAGCUAGAGACCGGGAGGCGUAAGAAGUACAUAUAGGGUAGUGGUAAAAUACGUUGAUCCUAUCUGGACUAACAAUCGCGAAGGCAUCUUACGAGAACGGAUCUGACAGUGAGGGAUGAAGGCUAGGGGC
rnacentral:rRNA from 1 species